rnacentral:lncRNA from 1 species
UGAAAGGUGACCCGCCAUCCAGCUUCCAUAGCCGUGCUCGCAGGAGCAUGAGGAGGAAUUGUGGUGUUUAUAGCAGUAAAAUUUUCAUUCCGGAGCGGGGUCGUAUACUAAUUUACUAGUAGUACCUAAAACUAUAAGGACCCGGAUGUCAAUGUUAUCUGGUCAAGCAAGUGAACUUCUGUUGUUGUUACUGUUUAUAUGGGUUUGUCAGAACUUCGGACAGAUGGAACAAAAGAAAAUUAGCAAUAUGUUGAUGUGUACUUGCUCUUUAACAUGAUGUGAUGCAACGCAUGUGGUCCAUUUCUGGUGUGUGUGGGGGUGGGGGGUGGGGUUAGAGUUUAGUCACGUGGACGCACUUUAUUGCGUCGGUGAAUUUUGACCCAUUCAAAUAACUCUAAAAUCCAAUGAAAUUUGAGCUAUUCAAACAUGAGAUCCCGUGAGCCUUGACAGGUGGUCACCCAUCGCCAUGCUUGGGUAGUCGAUUCCCUUUCCCCUCCUCCACGGCUCGCUGCUUGAGGGUCCGGUUAGCUUUCAAUUGCGCUCCCUGGUUGGCCAACCAUGACGGCUAUCAUCAACCUUUAUGUUCUUACGGCUGUGUGUAUCGGAGGCGAGGGGUGAUCCUCUUGCCAAUUGCUUGCAAGAACCUAAUGACCAAGUCUUAAAACAGUUAAUGUGUGCGUGUGUGUGCUGAUGGUAACACCCGGUGGUCGUGAUUAUUUUUACAGCUGAUAAAGAAGAUGGAACAGUCAAAGAAGAACGUUAACGCCAAGAAGGGUGACGCCCUAUCACGACGCUACGGUAGCUGCAUCUGAUGAACGGUAACCCGCCAUUUAACUUCCAUAGCCGUGCUGGUAAGAGGAGGAGGACAUGAAAUCUGGUUGUUUUGUGUGUUUGAUGCAACUGCAGCAGCGACAAUUAUGGGGUUGAUUGUAUUUACCUUUUCUACUCAAAGCGGGAUGAUAUAUUAAUUUACUAGUGGUAACUAAAAUCCACAAGGACCCAUAUAUCAGUGUUUAUCUGGUCAAGCAAGUAAACUUGUAUUGUUGUUUCUGUUUAUAGGUGAUGAUGGGUUUGUCAGAAACUUUAGACAAAUGGAACAAAAGAAAAUUAGCAAUAUGUUGAUGUGUACUCCGAAACUUCCCUUCUACUUCUGAGCUCAAUUGAGUUCAGAACGAAUAUUAAUUUCAAAAAAAUGAAAAAUUAAACUUCAAUAAUUUUUGAUUUUUUUGGGUGUAAAAUUUGACAAAUGUUAUCGGUGCUUGCAAAUUUCAUCCAGAAAUAUCAUUCGUGGAAGUCAUGGCAAAAAAACAGCACUCCAAAAUGCUUUCGAAAAUAGCAUUUACGGAGUGUUGAUUUUUUCUUUUUCACCACGACUUCUAAGAAUGUUAUUUCGAGAUAAAAUUUGCAAGCUUUGAGAUCAUUUUUCAAAGUUUGCACCAAAAAAUUCAGGAUUUUUUUCUUUUGUUUCUUUUUUUGAUAUUACUAUUCAUUAGAGAGCACAUGAGCUCGGGGGCAUACUUUGUGUCAUGUGUACUCGCGCUUUAAUAUGAUGCAAUGCUAUGUGUGUGGUCCAUUUUCCGGUGUAUGCUGGAGUCUUUGUGUUUGCUAUCUUCUGAAGAACUGGAGAUGACACAUGAGUUGAGUUUAGUCACGUAGGUGCACUUUAUCGUGUAAGUGAAAAUUGAGCCAUUCAAUAGUUAUUAAAUCCGAUAAAUUUUUAGCUAUUCAAAUCAGUGGUCAGACAAAAUCCCAUGUGAGUUGAUAGUAGUUAGCUUUUCUUUUGGGAGAAGCAUGGUAUAGUCAUUUACUAGUGGUACCUAGAACCCAUAAGGACCCAAAUGCCAGCUUUUAUCUAGUCAAGCAAGUGAACUUGUGUUGUUGUUACUAUUUAUAAAUAGGUGAUGAUGCGUUUAUCAGAAAUAUAAGACAAAUGGAACAAAAGAAAGUCAGCAAUAUGUUGACGUGUACUCGCGCUUUAAUAUGAUGUGAUGCUAUGUGUGUGUCUAUUUUGGAGGUGUGUGUGAGACUCUUCACCUUUUCUCUCUUCUCAAGAAGUGGAGACACACGAGUUGAAUUUAGUCACGUGGCCGCACUUUUCGUGUCGGUGAAAGCUAUUCAAAUAGUUUUUAAACCCAGUGGAAUUUGAGCUAUUCAAAUCAUCGGUCACAUGGGAUUCCAUGAGAUUUGAUGGUGGUCACCCAUCGCAAUGCUUGGGUAGUCAAUCCCCUUUCCUCUCCAUCGCGGCUCAUUGCUUGAGAGUCUGGUUGGCCUUUAGUUGUGCUCCCUGGUUGGCUAACCAUGACGGCGAUCAUCAACCGUCAUACUCUUAUGGCUGUGAGAAUCAGAGGCCAGGAAUGAUCCUCUUUUUCUAAGAAAAAAAACCUUCCUACACUUACCAUCACCUGCCAAUUGCUUGCAACAACCCAAUUGCCAAGUCUUAAAUAGUAAAUGGGUGUGUGUUUAUGGUAACACCCAGUGGUAGUGAUUUUUUUACACCCGGUGUUGAAGAUGAUGGAACAGUCCAAGGAGAAUGUCAAUGCCAAGAAGGGUGGCGCCCUGUCGCAGCACUGCGACAACUCUUCUAGAGGAUGGUGAAACGCCAUUUAGCUUCCAUUGUUAUGCCGGUAGGAGGAUGAAGAGGAACUGCAUACUAGCCAUCUUGUGUGUUUGAUGCAACUACAACGACAAUUAUUGUGUUGAUAGUAGUUACCUUUUCUUACUAGUAGUACCUGAAAACCAUAAGGACCCAAAUGUCAGUGUUUAUCUGGUCAAGCAAGUGAACUUGCAUUGAUGUUACUAUUUAUAGGGGAUGAGGGAUUUGUUAGAAACUUCAGGCAAACGGAAGAAAACAAAAUUAGCAAUAUUUUGAUGUGCACUCGUGCUUUAAUAUGGUCAGAUGCUAUGUGUGUGUGGUCCAAUUUAGAUGUGUGUGAGUGUGUGUGUGGGGGGGUAUCUUCGCCUUUGCUUUCUUCUGAAGAAGUGGAGAUGAUGCACGAGUUAAUAACAUGGUCACACUUUUCCGCGUUGGUGAAAUAUGAGCGUUUAAAUAGUUUUUAAUCUAGUGAAAUUUGAGCUAUUCAAAUCAAUGGUCACGUGGGAUCCCGUGAGACUUGACGGUGGUCACCCAUUCCAAUGCUUGUGUAGUCGAUCCCCUUUCCCUUCGUUGCGGCUCGCUUGAGGGUCCGACUAGCCUUGAGUUGUGCUCCCUGGUAGGCCAACCAUGAGAGCAAUCAUCAACCCUCAUACAAUUAAGGAUGGGUGCGUGUGAGGCCAAAGGUGGUCCUCCUUUUUCUAGGAAAAAAACAUCCUAAGCUUACCAUCAUUUGCCAAUUGCUUACAACAACCUAAUUGGCAAGUAACACCCCGUUGUCGUAUUUUUUUACAGCUGGUGGAGAAGAUGAUUGAACAGUACGUCCAAGGAGAACGUCAACGCCAAGAAGGAUGGCGCCCUGUCGUGGCGCUGCGACAACUGCAUCUGGUGAAUGGUGACCUGCGAUUCAGCUUCCAUAGUCAUGUUGGUAGGAGGAUGAGCAAGACUUGCAUUCUGGCCUUUUUGUGUGUUUGAUGCAGCUACAACGACAUUUGCGGUGUCGAUAGUAUAGUUAUUUAUUCUUUUCGGAGCGGGGUGGUAUAGUAAUUUACUAUAGUAGUAUCUAAAACCCAUAAGGACCCAAAUGUCAGAAAGUGAACUUGUGUUGUUGUUACAUUUUAUAGGUGAUGAUGGGUUUGUUAAAAACUUCAGUCAAACGAAAAAACAAAAUCAGCAAUAUGUUGAUAUGUACUAAUGCUUUAAUAUGAUGGGAUGCUACGUGUGUGUUCCAUUUUGGAUGUGUGUGUGGGACUCUUCACCUUUACUCUCUUCUGAAGAAGUGGAGAUGACACACGAAUUGAGUUAGUCACAUAGGCGCACUGAUACGUCUCUGUCGUAUCUAUAAUUUUUGAUUGUUCCAUGCCAAUAUUCUUCAAUUUUCAUAUACUUUUGGCAAAUUUUUGUACUAUUUUGGGAACUAACAUAUUGAUCCAGUGCCCAGUGCCAGUUCCUGUUUGUUGCAUGUUUUAUGUUUCGCAGAAAUCCAAUAUUGAACGGAGUCCAAAGGGGAUAAAAACGGACGGAGAAUUAUUUUGGAAUAUUUGUGAUUUUUGGGAAGUAAAAUCAACGCGAGACGGUGCCCGAGGGGGCCAGGAGAUAGGGGGGCGCCCUAGGGAGGCAGGCGCGCCCUGGAAUCUACUGGGCCCCCUGUAAGGCGGUUGACGCUCUUCUUUUGCCGCAAGAAAGCUAAUUUUAUGAGAAAAAUCUGGGCGAAAGAUUCACCCCCAUCGGAGUUACGGAUCUCCGGAUAUAAAAGAAACGGUGAAGGGGAAGGAUCUGGGAACGCAGAAACAAAGAGAGACAGAGAGAUAGAUCCAAUCUCGGAGGGGCUCUCGCCCCUCCCAAGCCAUGGGAGCCAAGGACCAGAGGGGAAACCCUUCUCCCAUCGAGGGAGAAGGUCAAGGAAGAAGAAGAAGAAGGUGGGGGGGGGGGUCUCUCUCCCCCUUGCUUCCGGUGGCGCCGAAACACUCCCGGAGGCCAUCAUCAUCACCGCGAUCUACACCAACACCGUCAUCAUCUUCACCAACGUCUCCAUCACCUUCCCCCAUCUAUAUUCAGCGGUCCACUCUCCCCAACCCGCUGUACCCUCUACUUGAACAUGGUGCUUUAUGCUUCAUAUUAUUAUCCAAUUAUGUGUUGCCAUCCUAUGAUGUCUGAGUAGAUUUUCGUUGUCCUACCGGUGAUGGAUGAAUUGCUAUUAUUGGUUUGAAUUGCAUGUUUUAUUAUUGGUGCUGUCCUAUUGUGCCCUCCGUGUCGCGCAAGCGUGAGGGAUUCCCGCUAUAGGGUUUGCAAUAUGUUCAUGAUUUGCUUAUGGUGGGUGGCGUGAGUGACAGAAGCACAGACCCGAGUAAGUAGGUUGUUUGCGUAUGGGAUAAAGGGGACUUGAUACUUUAAUGCUAUGGUUGGGUUUUACCUUAAUGAUCUUUAGUAGUUGCGGAUGCUUGCUAGAGUUCCAACCAUAAGUGCAUAUGAUCCAAGAAGAGAAAGUAUGUUAGCUUAUGCCUCUCCCUCAAAUAGAAUUGCAAUAGUGAUUACCGGUCUAGUAAUGUACUCAAUUGCUCAGGGACAAUUUCACAACUCCUACCAUCACUUUUCCACACUCACUAUAUUUAAUUUAUUGCAUCUUUAUCUAAACAACCCCUACUUUUUAUUUACGUGCUCUUUAUUAUCUUGCAAACCUAUCCUAUCACACUUACAAAGUACUUCUAGUUUCAUACUUGUUCUAGGUAAAGUGAACACUAAGCAUGCGUAGAGUCGUAUCAGUGGCAGAUAGGGCUUGAGAGAAUAUUUGUUCUACCUUUAGCUCCUCGUUGGGUUCGACACUCUUACUUAUCGAAAGAGGCUACAACUAUCCCGUAUACUUGCGGGUUAUCAAGACCAUUUUCUGGCGCCAUUGCCGGGGGGUCAUAGCGUGGGGUGAAUAUUCUCGUGUGUGCUUGUUUGCUUUAUCACUAAGUAAUUUUUAUUUGUUGUUCUUAGUUGUUCUCUAUCUUUAGUUAUGGGUAGGAAACGCAAAAUACCAAAAAAAUUAGUUGUACCUACUGAACCAAUGGUUGAAGAACCACUCAAAAUCUAUCACACUCCUGAAGCUUUUUACUUGGAUCAUCUUCGAUCCCUUUCUGCUCGUGCUGAAACCCCAACUAGCUUAGUUGAGGGCAAAUCUUUAGAUGAGCACGCUUGUUAUGCGUGACACCGUAUAUCUGAAAAAGGGAAACUUUUACUGGAUCAAAUUCAUCAUUUGCAAUGCUAUGCUUGGACUUUAUGUGAAUUAUAUGAUGUUACUUGUUGUGCUUAAAACCCUAAGAAACACCUUCCCUACCAAUGUGAGGUUACUGAUAAUGGAAUCGUAUCUUCGUAUGCUAAGGGUGUUUAUAAUUGCUGUGAUGUUCAACAAAUUGAAGAAUUUGUUGCUUUUAAGGGUGCUUAUGAAAUUGCUUCUUUGAUUGAAAAGUAUGAUGCUACUCUCUACAAAUCUGAAAAUUUUGCCAUACUUGAAUAUUGUUAUGAUAAUUAUGCUUCUAAUGCCUAUGUUAAACCAUAUAUUGAGAAAUUCUCUGUUGUCCAAGAAGAGACUAAUAUUUUGCAGGAAGCUAUGGAAGAAGAAAUUGAUGAAACUGUGAGCUCAUUGGAUGAAAAAUAUGAUGAGGAGAGCAAAGAAGAAAAGGAGGAAGAGCAGAUUAGCUACCCAUGCCCACCUUCUAAUGAGAGUAACUCUUCAACUCAUACCUUGUUUAAUUCCCCUUCAUGCUUACCGAAGGAUGAUUGCUAUGAUGAUUGUUAUGAUCCCGUGGGUUCUCUUGAAAUACCCCUUUUUGAUGAUGCUUGGUAUGCUUGUGGCCAAGAUGCCAAUAUGAAUGAUGCUUAUGGAGAUGAACUUGCUAUAGUUCCUUAUGUUAAACAUUAAAUUUUUUCUAUUGCACCCACGUAUGAUAGUCCUAUUAUCUUUGUGAAUCCUCCAAACUACACUAUAUCAGAGAAGUUUGUGCUUAUUAAGGAUUAUAUUGAUGGGUUGCCUUUUACCAUUGCACAUGAUGAUUUUGAUGAAUGUAAUAUGCAUGUUCUUGCUGCUCCUACUUGCAACUAUUAUUAGAGAGGGAUUAUAUCUCCACUCUCUAUGUUUUCAAUAUAUUAAAUUGCAAGAAACUGUUUAUACUAUGCAUUGGCCUUUACUAUGUGUGCAUGAAUUGUUCUUUUAUGACAUGCCGAUGCAUAGGAAGAGAGUUACACUUUGUUGUUGCAUGAUAUAUGUUACUUUGUGCUCACUACUAAAUUACAAAUCAUUGUUAAUUAAAAUUGGCUUUGAUAUACCUUGGGAUCCGGGUGGAUUCAUUACCUGAGCACUAUAUGCCUAGCUUAAUGGCUAUAAAGAAAGCGCUGCCAGGGAGAUAACCCCGAAGUUUUAGAGAGUCAUUUAUUUAUAUUGAGUGCUUUUAAAUAGUUUAAAAACACAAAAAUAAAGAGGGGAACCCAAAACUUUUCAAAAAGGAAAGUGAAAGUGAGAAAGACAAGCAUUGUCGAAGUGGGAGCUAGCCUUGAACUUUGUUCAUGCUCACGGAAACUUUGUGAAUCCUGAUUACAGAAAAUUUUCAUCAAAAAUAAUUAUCCCCUUGUACAAUUCCAUUGUAUUAUAAAAAUAAUGUGCCAAGGUUUGCCUUUAGGAUGUUUACAAUGCUUGUUGGUUCGCAUGGUGCAGUACAGAAACUUUGGCUGUAGUGCGUGAUUUUACAUUUUUUACUGGAACGCCAAAUGGUUCUGAUUCUUUUUGCACAGUCUUUCUCUACAACCUGUUUAUUUGUCCUAAUUUUGGUAGAAUUUGUGGGGUACCAUAAGUUUGGGGAAUGUUCAGAUUGCUACAGACUGUUCUGUUUUUGACAGAUUCUGUUUUUGAUGCAUAGUUUGCUUGUUUUGAUGAAUCUAUCAAUUUAUACAAGUGGAUUAGGCCAUGAAAAAGUUAUGUUACAGUAGAAAAAAAUGCAAAAACAAAAUAUGAAUUGGUUUGCUACAGUACUUAGAGUGGUGAUUUGCUCUAUUAUACUAACGGAUCUUACCAAGUUUUCUGUUGAAAUUUUGUGUGGAUGAAGUGUUUGAUUGAGGAGGUCUCGAUAUGAGGAAAAGGAAGAGAGGCAAGAGCUCAUGUUUGGGGAUGCCCGAGGCACCCCAAGUAAAUAUUCAAGGAGACUCAAGCGUCUAAGCUUGGGGAUGCCCCGGAAGGCAACCCCUCUUUCUUCAACAAGUAUCGGUAUUUUUUCGUAUUCGUUUCGUUUAUGCGAUAUGUGCAAGUCUUGGAGCGUAAUUUCCAUUUAGUUUUCACUUUUAUUUUAUGCACCAUGCUGGUAUCAGAUAGUCCUUGGUUGAUUUAUAGAAUACUCAUUGCACUUCACUUAAAUCUUUUGAGUAUGGCUUUAUAGAAUGCUUCAUGUGUUUCACUUAUAUCAUUUGAAGUUUGGAUUGCCUGUUUCUCUUCACAUAGAAACCCGCCAUUUGUAGAAUACUCUUUUGCUUCACUUAUAUUUGUUAGAGCGUGGGAAUAUCUUUUGUAGAAAGAAUUAAAUUCUCUUGCUUCACUUAUAUCUAUUUAGAGAGAUGACAUGAAUUGGUCAUUCACAUGGUUAGUCAUAAAAUCCCACAUAAAACUUGUAGAUCACUGAAUAUGAUAUGUUUGAUUCCUUGUAAUAGUUUUGCGAUAUAAAGGUAGUGAUAUUAGAGUCGUGCUAGUUGAGUAAUUGUGAAAUUGAGAAAUACUUUUGUUGAGGUUUGCAAGUCCCGUAGCAUGCACGUAUGGUGAAUCGUUAUGUAACGAAGUUGGAGCAUGAGGUGUUCUUUGAUUGCUUUCCUUAGGAGUGGAGGUCGGGAUCGCGCGAUGGUUAACUCCUACCAACCCUUCCCCUAGGAGCAUGCGUAGUAGUACUUUGCUUCAAGGGCAAGUAGACUUUUGCAAUAAGUAUAUGAGUUCUUUAUGACUAAUGUGAGUCCAUGGAUAUACGCACACUCACCCUUCCACUGUGCUAGCCUCUAUUGUGCCGCGCAACUUUCGCCGGUUUCAUGAACCCAUUAUUUACCUUCCUCAAAAAGCCACCAUACCUACCUAUUAUGGCAUUUCCAAAGCCAUUCUGAGAUAUAUUGCCAUGCAACUUUCCACUGUUCCAUUAUUAUGACACGCUCCAUCAUUGUCAUAUUGCUCUUUGCAUGAUCAUGUAGUUGACUUUAUAUUUGUGGCAAGGCCACCCUCAUAAUUUUCGUACAUGUCACUCUUGAUUCAUUGCAUAUCCCGUACACUGCCGGAGGCAUUCAUAUAAAGUCAUAUCUUUGUUCUAGAUAUCGAGUUGUAAUAUUGAGUUGUAAGUAAAUAAAAGUGUGAUGAUCAUCAUUAUUAGAGCAUUGCCCCAGUGAGGAAAGGAUGAUGGAGACUAUGAUUCCCCCACAAGUCGGGAUGAGACUCCGGACUUAAUGAAAAAAAAGAAAGGCCAAAGAAGCCAAAUAAAAAAAGGGGAGCCAAAGAAGCCCAAACAAAAAAAAAA